UUCACGAAGGGCGAUGGUGCUCCGCCUAUUUGAACCGCUGCAAGGCUGAUGGCUCCCACUCAAAU
rnacentral:ncRNA from 1 species